UUCCUACGGGGGGCAGCAGUGAGGAAUAUUGGUCAAUGGGCGAGAGCCUGAACCAGCCAAGUAGCGUGAGGGAUGACGGCCCUAUGGGUUGUAAACCUCUUUUAUCUGGGAAUAAAGUUUGUUAUGCGUGCCACUUUGUGUGUACCAUAUGAAUAAGCAUCGGCUAACUCCGUGCCAGCAGCCGCGGUAAUACGGAGGAUCCGAGCGUUAUCCGGAUUUAUUGGGUUUAAAGGGAGCGUAGGCGGAUUGUUAAGUCAGUUGUGAAAUUUUGCGGCUCAACC
rnacentral:rRNA from 1 species